CAAGAAAUAGUUUAAUUAGAAUAUCAGUUUUGGGUACUGAUGGUGUGACUAUUUGUUUCUUUCUUGA
rnacentral:tRNA from 2 species